ACUGGAGGCAUGCUGCCCAAGAUGGCUGACUUUGAAGACUAUUUUCUGUUCAUAUUGGAUAACUACUUCAGGAUUUAUGUUUGGCCCUGUAGCAUAACGGAGAAAUUGGAGUUACACCAGCUGUGGAUAAAUGGACUUCUAUGCUUCCUGUUGGACGUUGGUCGAGGUAUUGGAGGCCUCUGUGUAGAGGGAGCUUUCCUUUACCAGAGGGGUCAGGACUCUCACUCCAUCACCAUUAUUUCAUUCAGAAGAUACCCCGAG
ensembl:lncRNA